UAAGGAAUAUUGGUCAAUGGACGAAAGUCUGAACCAGCCAUGCCGCGUGAAGGAUGAAGGUCCUCUGGAUUGUAAACUUCUUUUAUAUGGGGCGAAAAAAGGCCUUUCUAGGUCGUCUGACGGUACCAUAUGAAUAAGCACCGGCUAACUCCGUGCCAGCAGCCGCGGUAAUACGGAGGGUGCAAGCGUUAUCCGGAUUCACUGGGUUUAAAGGGUGCGUAGGUGGGUUGGUAAGUCAGUGGUGAAAUCUCCGGGCUUAACUCGGAAACUGCCAUUGAUACUAUUAAUCUUGAAUACCGUGGAGGUUGGCGGAAUAUGUCAUGUAGCGGUGAAAUGCUUAGAUAUGACAUAGAACACCAAUUGCGAAGGCAGCUGGCUACACGGAUAUUGACACUGAGGCACGAAAGCGUGGGGAUCAAACA
rnacentral:rRNA from 1 species